AUGCUUACAGGAUUGCCCAAUUCUCUCUUCUUUCCCAACCUCCCAACCUUUCCAAUUCUCCCUUCUAGUGUUCCUGCCCUUCUUCUCAGUGUUAGGAGGACCCGCACUGCCGAACCCCAGUGCCCCCUUCACGAAGUGACGAGGACUGGGAUUAGGAAAACAGGGUCAGAGGUGACCUGGACUGGGGAAAAGAAAACUGAGUCACAAAAGAUACGGCCUUCCCCUUUGCAGCCCAGGCUUCUCGAGGAUGGGCCUUUCCUGGUCCUUCUCCAUCCCCCCAGGUUCAAUCCCCCCUCUCGGCAGCUACAAUCCUGUUCUGACCGUCUACCACACCCCUUUCCCGGUUCUCACUUCCCUUCUGUUGCGGUUCCCUUCUGUUGCGAAUACCCGCAAGCCUGGGUUUUGGAACCCGGGUUCUGGGCCUGUGGGGCUUCUGGAGCCUUCACGCCCCACCUCGCUGCCAUCUCUCCGAUGCGCCCUGCCUUCUCCGCGAACCGCCCGCACAGCAUCCCCCGUUUUACCUCCGCCAAGUCUCCACCUCGGCGUUCCUCCCCUUUAGGCUCUGGUCCUGGCGACGCUCGGCCCCGUCAGCCCUCCUCCCGGGACCCUCCUCCCCCACCUCCCGAGCUCGCGACUCCCGGGCCCGCGUCCCUCCUCCGGGCGGCCCCACCCCCUGAGCCCCCAGGCUCGGGCCCGGCCGUGCCCGCAGUGAGGGAACGCGACCGGGAAAAUAACAAAUGGAGGCGGCGGCGGCGGCGGCGGCGGCGGCGGCGGGGGGAGCGGGAGGGGUGGGGGCAGGAGCCGAGGGCCGAAACGGGGCGGCCCGGGAGGGCGGCAGCCCGACCUUACCCUGCGAGGCUCGGGACGGCUGGCUGGCUGGCUGCGAGUGCAGUCGGGCUCCGGCGCCUCCCGGGGACGGCGGCGGCCACUCCCCGCCCUCCUCUCUGCGCGGAUUCAGUCGCCGCCGCGGCGGCGGCGACGGCGGCCCCGCCCCCCGGAGGGCGGCCCCAUGCCUCGCUCCCCGCGCAGCCCCGAUCGGCUUCUCGCACUCCCUGCCCGCCCGCUCGCUCCGCUCGCUCGCCGCCGCCCCCGAACGCGCCGCCCGCCCGCCCCGCCGCGCCGCGCCUCGCCCGCCUCCGCCCGCACUCGCGGCCGGCGAGGCCCGCGACCCCCGGCCCUCCAGCCGCUCGUGCCGCGCGCCCCUAG
rnacentral:lncRNA from 1 species